ACGGGAGGCAGCAGUGGGGAAUAUKGCACAAURGGCGCAARCCUGAUGCAGCGACGCCGCGUGARGGAUGACGGCCUUCGGGUUGUAAACCUCUUUCAGUAGGGAAGAAGCGAAAGUGACGGUACCUGCAGAAGAAGCGCCGGCUAACUACGUGCCAGCAGCCGCGGUAAUACGUAGGGCGCAAGCGUUAUCCGGAUUUAUUGGGCGUAAAGAGCUCGUAGGCGGUUUGUCGCGUCUAUCGUGAAAGUCCGAGGCUCAACCUCGGAUCUGCGGUGGGUACGGGCAGACUAGAGUGAUGUAGGGGAGACUGGAAUUCCUGGUGUAGCGGUGAAAUGCGCAGAUAUCAGGAGGAACACCGAUGGCGAAGGCAGGUCUCUGGGCAUUUACUGACGCUGAGGAGCGAAAGCAUGGGGAGCGAACAGGAUUAGAUACCCUGGUAGUCCAUGCCGUAAACGUUGGGCACUAGGUGUGGGGGACAUUCCACGUUUUCCGCGCCGUAGCUAACGCAUUAAGUGCCCCGCCUGGGGAGUACGGCCGCAAGGCUAAAACUCAAAGGAAUUGACGGGGGCCCGCACAAGCGGCGGAGCAUGCGGAUUAAUUCGAUGCAACGCGAAGAACCUUACCAAGGCUUGACAUGUUCCAGAUCGCCUCAGAGAUGGGGUUUCCCUUCGGGGCUGGUUCACAGGUGGUGCAUGGUUGUCGUCAGCUCGUGUCGUGAGAUGUUGGGUUAAGUCCCGCAACGAGCGCAACCCUCGUUCCAUGUUGCCAGCGGGUUAUGCCGGGGACUCAUGGGAGACUGCCGGGGUCAACUCGGAGGAAGGUGGGGAUGACGUCAAAUCAUCAUGCCCCUUAUGUCUUGGGCUUCACGCAUGCUACAAUGGCCGGUACAAUGGGUUGCGAUACUGUGAGGUGGAGCUAAUCCCUAAAAGCCGGUCUCAGUUCGGAUUGGGGUCUGCAACUCGACCCCAUGAAGUCGGAGUCGCUAGUAAUCGCAGAUCAGCAACGCUGCGGUGAAUACGUUCCCGGGCCUUGUACACACCGCCCGUCAAGUCACGAAAGUUGGUAACACCCGAAGCCGAUGGCCUA
rnacentral:rRNA from 1 species